UUAGGAAUAUUCGUCAAUGGGGGAAACCCUGAACGAGCAAUGCCGCGUGAAGGAUGACGGUUCUAUGAAUUGUAAACUUCUGUUGUAAGGGAAGAACGACUUAUAUAGGAAAUGAUAUAAGAGUGACGGUACCUUUCAAGAAAGCUCCGGCUAACUACGUGCCAGCAGCCGCGGUAAUACGUAGGGAGCGAGCGUUAUCCGGAUUUAUUGGGUGUAAAGGGUGCGUAGGCGGUCUAAAAGGUCUAUGGUAUAAGUCUGAAGCUUAACUUCAGUGAGCCAUAGAAACCAUUAAACUUGAGUAUGGUAGAGGCAAGUGGAAUUUCUAGUGUAGCGGUAAAAUGCGUAGAUAUUAGAAGGAACAUCAGUGGCGAAGGCGACUUGCUGGGCCAUUACUGACGCU
rnacentral:rRNA from 1 species